GUGGCAUCUCUCUGAACCCCCUCAACUAUCCGAGCUUCCAUAAUGCCGUUCGGACUUCUCCGACAAUGAGCUUCUCCAUCCAUCUAUCGAACCGCUCCAAAGGCUCUCUGGGCCUCACUAUCAGCCGACCUUCUAUAGUGAUCAACUAUUCUCUGAACUUCUUCUGGAUUUCGUCAAUAUCCAAGCUUCUCCGACAAUGAGAUUUCUACAGUAAUCAGACUCCAUCCA
rnacentral:lncRNA from 1 species